rnacentral:SRP_RNA from 1 species
GCUGAAAGUGAAAGCACACACUUAUAAUCCCUGCUACUCAGGAGGCUGAGGCUGGUGGAGUACUUGAGUUGAAGAGUUCUGAGCUUCAAUAGGGCUAUAGGCGAUCUGCAUUGUCUGGCAUCAAUAUGGUGAGCUCCCAGAAGCAGAAGGCCACCAGAUUGCCUAAGGAGAGAUGAACUGGCUCAGGUUAGAAACAGAGUAAGUCAAAGUUUCUGUACCAAACAGCAGCAAGAUCAAACAGCCUUCCCACUUCUGGCCUGUGUGUGAUGAGGAGAUCAAGUCUCA